GACGAACGCUGGCGGCGUGCCUAAUACAUGCAAGUUGAGCGAUGAAGAUUGGUGCUUGCUCCAAUUUGAAGAGCAGCGAACGGGUGAGUAACGCGUGGGGAAUCUGCCUUUGAGCGGGGGACAACAUUUGGAAACGAAUGCUAAUACCGCAUAACAACUUUAAACAUAAGUUUUAAGUUUGAAAGAUGCAAUUGCAUCACUCAAAGAUGAUCCCGCGUUGUAUUAGCUAGUUGGUGAGGUAAAGGCUCACCAAGGCGAUGAUACAUAGCCGACCUGAGAGGGUGAUCGGCCACAUUGGGACUGAGACACGGCCCAAACUCCUACGGGAGGCAGCAGUAGGGAAUCUUCGGCAAUGGACGAAAGUCUGACCGAGCAACGCCGCGUGAGUGAAGAAGGGUUUCGGAUCGUAAAACUCUGUUGGUAGAGAAGAACGUUGGUGAGAGUGGAAAGCUCAUCAAGUGACGGUAACUACCCAGAAAGGGACGGCUAACUACGUG
rnacentral:rRNA from 1 species